CAGGACUCGCAAGACUCCCGUAAACCACUGUGAACUUACCUACAACCCGUUGCCCUCGGCGGGUGCUCCGGGCGCGUCUUCGGGCGCUCCGGGGCGCUCCAGCCCGCCGGCGGCCCCUAAACUCUGCCUCUGUAACGUUGGCAUCUCCGAGCAGACUAUAAACGAGUCA
rnacentral:misc_RNA from 1 species